AACAGCAACUGCAGCUCUGGCCCAAGCCAGGUGUGGGCUGACCUAGCCAGGGAGCGGGGAAGUGAAAGGAAUGGGUCCCUUCCCACUCAGAGGGCGGAGCCCCCACUUCUGGUGAGAGAAAGCUGAGCAGAAUGGAUCUAAUCUGAUUCCUCCACCCAGAAGCCCUUAAAAUGCAGCUUUGUUUUAAGCCUUCUUGAAGAUUUGGGCUAGAUCUAGAAAAGAACCUCACCACGGAGGAUGUGCAAAGUACAACACGUGACCCCGGAGACGGAAGCUCUUCUCUACCUCCGUAAAGAUGAUCUCUGAUGAACAGACAUGAUCAUGCCUGGAGAACAGGGAUGGACAGUCCCGCUUCUGAAAGACCCUGUCUGGCUGAUGAUUCAUGGUGCGCCGGGCAGACCCCAGGCCAAGAGACCCCACCCACAGUACCUGAGUGCUCAGCUGGGAACCAGACCAGACCUCAAAACAGACCAGCCCCCCAGCAUUGACCUGGAUGCCUGCCACAGCCUCCUCCCUGGUCUCCGGCCUCCCACCUCUGCUCCUCGGUCUCCUCUACCCAGCCAGUAACUGCAGAGAGCACUAAAGCACAGUCCUGGCAUCUCACCCCCUUAACCCUGGCCACGGCUUCCCAGUGCCUCCAAGAUAAAGCACCAACACCUGAGGACAGCAGGUUUUAUUGUUGUUUUGAAAUUGCAAACUGUGCUGCCCCGAACCUCCC
rnacentral:lncRNA from 10 species